rnacentral:lncRNA from 1 species
AGUUGGAGAGGACAGGAGAGGAGGGCGUGGCUUCUGGCGUUUGGCGGGUCUUUGUCUCUCGCUGGCGCUGGCACAGGAACUUGGGAUCCGUCUCCUCUUUCGCCUCCUCCGCUUUGGGAGCCCCGGGCUACUCUUUCACAGCCCCUGUUGCCCUGUGAUCUGUAGGUCCUUGGGGACGCACAGUUAAGAUGACAGGACAUCCUGGAAGCUGGGAAAUGAUAUGUAUUCAUUUCCUACCACCGUAGUGGAAGAGAUACUAUCCCUAUCUUUACAACUGAUAGCAUUUCCAACAGUAAGCUGUGAGAUUCUGCUUGAAAUCACCUCUCAAACAAAUAAAAAACAGACCUGGGAGACAUGCUACGCUCAUUCUGCUGAAGAAAUAGGCAUCAUAGCUGGGAAACGGAUUCACAAGACCCAGGCUGUUCCCUACAUAUGUUUCCUCCUCCGACAUCAGUUCAUCAGUCAAUCAAGCCAUGUGAGAGUGGAGGCCUUGUAUUCCCUAUUAUUCUUGGGCACUCUACUCCAAGUAGGAAAAGGCCAGGAGGUCCUGUUAAAGGAUGCACUCAGAGCCCGGGCUCCCUAACAUAUGAGAGUGCUAACCAGCAGGUGUAGACUUUUCAGGAGUGAAGAAUGAGGCAGGCAUUCCAAACCUGGACCUUCAUCACCUUUUGUUUCAUCUCAAGACAAUUCUGAGGGACUGUUUUGGAGCGUGUCUGGAAGGUGAACCUUGAAGAAGAGUGUGGGUUUUGAUGUGACUCAGUUGAGAUCUUUCAUGGGGAGGCAGGAAUUCAAUGCCCAGAAUCUGGGCUGGUGUCUUUGAGGUCAGUAGGUUGCGUCUUUGUAUCCAAGUCCAUUGUUACUAGGUUGGAGGCUGGAGAUUCUAAAUGGCUUCCAGACCAUCUCUCUGAUUCUCUUUGGGAGAUGGGGUCUGAAAGACAAUGUCAGUAGUUUUGGGAAAUUCUAGAAAGUGUGCUUGGAAACGUGGGAAGAGCUCUUGCCUAGUGCCUAAAUGCUCCAUUUGCAGCUCUAGCCAAGUAGAUACUUGGUAGGUAUAGAGCCGGGUUUGCGUUUAUAUUAGCAAAACCUAUGUCAGAGUUGAAGAAGUAGUCAGGAAAAAGCGUCUUGGUCGCAGGCCGGGGAACAUCUUAAAAGCAAACUUCUAGCCUGCUGACUCUUGGCAAUGAGUGUUGGAUCCUGGCUAAAGUGCCUUGAAUGCAGCAUGAGGCCAAUCCAUGAAUCCAACUUCUCAUGGAGAAAUGUUAAUAUUUUUUCAGUUUGAAUCAAUCAGGGUGAAACUACCAUGCUAUUGGUUUGCUUACUUUUUAUUAUUUCAUGUAAAAUCUAAGACAAAAUACAUUAAAUGCUUAUUGACAUAUGUAUUUAUUCUUCACCAGGCUGAUAAUAUCUGCCUAAUUUUAAACUUUCUUCCAUUUUGUAGGUUUCAACUUAUUCUAUUGUAAGAUACUGUUAAAUCUAAUAGAGGCAUUGUCACUUUUACGUAUAAUUUUAUUUUAUUUCAUAUAUUUCCUAUUGGUUUUUUACAUUUAAAUUAUGGAGCACUUCAUCAUAUAAAAAACUUCAAUUAUAUUUAAACAGUAAGUCUUUGGAUUUUUUUGCCUUUUAAUUUCCAUAUUACAUAAUAAUGAGAUAAACAUUAAUGUUUUCAGGGUACUUUAAAUUUUAGAUAAUUACUCAUUGUAUUCAUGUGAAAUUUGUUUUUACUGCAUGUGUGGGUUGGAGGACGGUUUUCACUUCUGAUUCAUCUUUACUCUUAUCUCAUCAGAGCUCAUACCUCUUGUAGUUGGGGGAUUGCAGUUUAUAAUUCCAAUAAAUGGGGCAAAUUCAAUAAUAACAUAAUACAAAUGAGUUUGAAUGCAGGACAGGUCUUCAAAGCAUACACAACAUGGGCCUACAUAUGUACAACAAUAAUAAUUUAUAAGUUACUGUUUGGAUGGAAAGUAAAAGUACAGAAAAUUUGUUAAAGGAAAUUAAAAUGGAGAUCAUGUCUCAAUAAUCUCUGAGCAGACAAAAUUAGUUAGGUCUCAUAAGUGAUCUCAACCUCGCUUGAUUUGCAAAUACAAACAAAACUUACAUUAUUUCUUGUAGCUGCAUAUUGAAAAAAGAGAAAUGAAGCUCAACCAGUCAGAAGUAGCCAACAACCUUAUAUAAAUAGAAACUGUCCAACAAGGUAAACAGACAAACAAAAAACAAUAAAAAAAGUUGUGCUACCACCAAAUGAUUUCUUUGUUUCUACAUUUUUCAAAUAAAUACUUGCUUCUUACACUGUCAAUGAAGCACUCAAUAUCUUUCCGUCUGAUAUUUUAUAAUUUAUCAAUUGCUCUUACUCAAAUAAACACUUUGCAAUUUCA